rnacentral:piRNA from 1 species
UAUUUUCAAGGGAUGAAUGGCAUUGUCU